rnacentral:lncRNA from 1 species
CUAAGACUGGAAACUCCAUGACAGUUAAAACUAGGAAAGCAAUUAGCCUUAGAGCCUCUGUUGUUACUGGUGUUCACCAUCUUCCUUCAGUCCUCCUCAUCCCCUCAUUUUUAGCCUUUCUUUUCUUUUCUUCACAUUAUGCUGUAUCCACAUGUACAUUGGUUUAAGAUAUGCAGAUACAUUAUUGGCAGGUUCUGCGUAUGAAGGAGAAAUGGUGGGGUUUGUUUUUGUUUGGUUUGUCUUUCUGAGCAUCUUUCUAAGUCAAGGUCUUACUGUAAAUCUCACAGUUUGAGGCUGGUCUCAAACUCUCCUCCUGAGUGUUGCGUUUACAGCAAUCCCAGCAUGCUUUGCUGAAGUACCUCUAAACACUACAGCUUAUAGCUGACUGAAUGCCAGCCAGGGUCUGCUCGUAGUUUGAGGACCAGAGGGGACCUUGGAAAUGGAGAAAGGCUCCAGGUUAAGAAAAAAAGAUGUUCAAAGUAGAUCCUAGAGACCCACAGUGAGGCCUGAACCCAGGUUAGAAACAGAGAAAACAGGAAAGCUGGAUGCACCUGUGUCACGGGAGGAGGCCCGGGGUAUGGCCCGGGUAAGGCUGGCCCCCAGGCAGAAGGCAGAGGAGAGAGCUUUCCUCCUCAGCAUUCAAUAAGAGACCCCUCCCCCAGGAGGAGGAUGUUUGUGCAGGCCGAGCAGAGAUACCUGAGGAAAUCAACAGCUGGAGCCAGGACACCUGCACCCCGGGGGCAUCACUAAAGCAGAAAAGGAAAAGCAAAACAAAAGUCACAGUUUCCACAGGGGAAUUUCCCGGAACAACCAACAAUAACUGAGAAACCGGUCACCUGCCUGCCUUCCUGCCCAGUUUAUGAGGACUUCCCUGUGACCCCUCUCACUUUGUGUGUAUAAGGAAAAGCUAUAGCUGUGGCAUUUCCAGGGAAGAAAAAUAUUUUUUUAGGUGCUAUCCCCACAGAGCAAAUAUCCUUAGAGCGAUUGUACCAGAGGCUGGCCUCAAACUCAAAACAAUUCCCUCUCCUGAGUCUUCCAAGUACUAGGAUUACCGUGUGAGCCACCUAUAUUAUGUCGUGAGUGAACACCAAGCACAGCAGCUAAGCAAGUGUUAUAAAUGAAUGCUAUUUCAUCUUAGAGAACGGUUUUAGGUCCACAGCCAAACUGGAGUAUAGUUCCCCUAUCCCUACCGUAGCGUGGCCUCUACCUAGACUCAGCGUCAGUGGGUUUUGUUUGUUUCUAUUAUUUAGACAGGAUCUCCACGUAUAGCCUAGGCUAGCCUUCAACUUACUCUGUAAUUCAGGCAAGCCUUGCUAUGUAUUAUAAUGCUAAGUGUGGGCCCCCAAGACCUGUCCUCCAGAGACGAGAGAGUCCCUAUGUGACCUUGACAUCCAAGUUAUUUCUGAUUGGUAAAUAAAGAUGCCUACAGCCUAUAGCUGGGCAGAAUUGAGAUAGGUAGGGCUUGAUGUUCCCACCCUCAGGGGAAGUGGAAGAAGAAGGGAAAGGAAGAGAAAGACACUGUGGGUUAGGAGUCAAGGAAACAUGGCCCUGAGGGCUGGCCAAUACGAGUUAAGAGCAGCCCAGAUGACAUAGUAAGUAAUAACUCAGGGUUAUUGAUAGGAAAGUAGAGUCUAAUAGCAUAGAGGGCAGAUAUCUGCCCAGCUCUCGAGCUGUUUAAGGCUUAUUGUAAAUAUAAAAGA